CAGCCGUAAACUAUGCUCGCUAGGUGUCAGGCAUGGCGCGACCGUGUCUGGUGCCGCAGGGAAGCCGUGAAGCGAGCCACCUGGGAAGUACGGCCACAAGGCUGAAACUUAAAGGAAUUGGCGGGGGAGCACAACAACGGGUGGAGCCUGCGGUUUAAUGGACUCAACGCCGGACAACUCACCGGGGGACGACAGCAAUAUGUAGGCCAGGCUGAAGACCUUGCCUGAAUCGCUGAGAGGAGGUGCAUGGCGUAGACGUCU
rnacentral:rRNA from 1 species